rnacentral:rRNA from 1 species
AUGGCGGCGCCUAGGCCACAGCAGCCACAUGGGAUGAAACUAGCAGAGAUGAAGAAGACGACGGUCGUUGGGAGGAGAAAGGUUGCCGGGAUGCUGGAGGACGUGCACCAGCUGCGGCUGCUGGUCAACCGCUACGUUCAGUACAGGUUGCUGAACGCCCAGGGGCAUAGGCGGCCAAGGCCAAGGCUGCUGCGGUGGAGAACUCCCUGUUCGGACUGGCUGAGAGAAUUGCCGGGCUACGAGAAUCAGUCGCUGGUAAGAGGGCAGAGGCUUAGAAGAUCAAGAGGGAUCAGAGAUUGUGCUCAAUUGUUGGUGGUCGGGACGUCAGUUUGUCCAACUAGGAGCCAACUGAAGUAUCACACUGAAUCAUAUGUUGCCUAUUAUCUACUCCCA